rnacentral:rRNA from 1 species
UACAGAGGGUGCAAGCGUUAAUCGGAAUUACUGGGCGUAAAGCGAGCGUAGUCGGUUAUUUAAGUCGGAUGUGAAAUCCCCGGGCUCAACCUGGGAAAUUGCAUUCGAUACUGGAUAGCUAGAGUUCGGCAGAGGGAAGCGGAAUUUCUGGUGUAGCGGUGAAAUGCGUAGAUAUCAGAAGGAACAUCAGUGGCGAAAGCGGCUUCCCUGGACCAGAACUGACGAUCAGGCUCGAAAGCGUGGGGAGCAAACAGG